GCAAAUAUAGUUUAAAGGCUAAAAUCAAUAUCCUUCCAAGUUAAAGAUACGAGUUCGAAUCUCGUUAUUUGCU
rnacentral:tRNA from 1 species